GAGUCCUACGGGAGGCAGCAGUGAGGAAUAUUGGUCAAUGGGCGAGAGCCUGAACCAGCCAAGUCGCGUGAAGGAUGACGGCCCUAUGGGUUGUAAACUUCUUUUGUCAGGGAGCAAUUGGGUCCACGUGUGGGCUUAGCGAGAGUACCUGAAGAAAAAGCAUCGGCUAACUCCGUGCCAGCCGCCGCGGUAAUACGGAGGAUGCGAGCGUUAUCCGGAUUUAUUGGGUUUAAAGGGUGCGUAGGCGGAAUAUCAAGUCAGAGGUAAAAAUUCGGGGCUCAAGCCCGUCGUGCCGUUGAGACUGG
rnacentral:rRNA from 1 species